UACGUAGGGGGCAAGCGUUGUCCGGAUUUAUUGGGCGUAAAGAGCGUGUAGGCGGCCACACAGGUCUGCUGUGAAAACUCGAGGCUCAACCUCGAGCUGUCGGUGGAAACCGUGUGGCUAGAGUCCGGAAGAGGAGAGUGGAAUUCCCCGGUGUAGCGGUGAAAUGCGCAGAUAUCGGGAAGAACACCCGUGGCGAAGGCGGCUCUCUGGGGACGGUACUGACGCUGAGACGCGAAAGCGUGGGGAGCAAACAGG
rnacentral:rRNA from 1 species